rnacentral:rRNA from 1 species
UACAGAGGUCCCAAGCGUUGUUCGGAUUCACUGGGCGUAAAGGGUGCGUAGGUGGCAGGGUAAGUUUGAUGUGAAAUCUCCGAGCUUAACUCGGAAACUGCAUUCGAUACUGCCGUGCUUGAGGACUGGAGAGGAGACUGGAAUUUACGGUGUAGCGGUGAAAUGCGUAGAUAUCGUAAGGAAGACCAGUGGCGAAGGCGGGUCUCUGGACAGUUCCUGACGCUGAGGCACGAAGGCCAGGGGAGCAAACGGG